CUCGUAGGCGGUUCGUCGCGUCCGGUGUGAAAGUCCAUCGCUUAACGGUGGAUCCGCGCCGGGUACGGGCGGGCUUGAGUGCGGUAGGGGAGACUGGAAUUCCCGGUGUAACGGUGGAAUGCGUAGAUAUCGGGAAGAACACCAAUGGCGAAGGCAGGUCUCUGGGCCGUCACUGACGCUGAGGAGCGAAAGCGUGGGGAGCGAACA
rnacentral:rRNA from 1 species